AGAGCAUUACGGUGAGGACCAGUGGCGGCCGGUACCCUGGUCCCUGCACCGGAGCGGGGUGGCCGGCCGCGGGGGCACCGCAGCGCGGGGCUGGAACACUGAGGGCCGAGCCCGCAGCCAAUAGAAAUAGAUAUGAUUGUAGGAAAAGACCGGGAAGGUUUCUUUACCAACGGUUUGACUCUUGGCGCGAAGAAAUGCUCAGUGAUCAGAGAUAGUCUAUACGUCGAUGGUGACUGCACAAUGGACAUCCGGACAAAGAGUCAAGGUGGGGAGCCAACAUACAAUGUGGCUGUCGGCAGAGCUGGUAGAGUCUUGGUCUUUGUAAUGGGAAAAGAAGGGGUCCAUGGAGGCGGAUUGAAUAAGAAGGCAUACUCAAUGGCAAAAUACUUGAGAGACUCUGGGUUCUAGCUGCUAGGCAGACUGUUAAGUAUUAGGGGAAAAUUGCUCUUAAACUUUCCUAGCUAUAAGCUUAAGUCUUAAUUCUGGAAAUUUUAUUAGCAAUGCAGGGUGAUGGGGUAUGAACCUGUGUCUCCUUUGUAUCCCUCUGUUGGUGGGGAAAGGUGUCUUUCUUUCUGCCCUCCCCCCCCAAAAUAAUUCUGUUCACUUUUGUUUUGUUUCCUUGUGUACUCCAGCAUUG
rnacentral:lncRNA from 1 species